GUUUGAAUGAUGAUUUGAAUUGUCGGAUACCCCUUCACCUUUUUCAUAGGUGAAAAACAACAGUCUGACAAAC